UCUGGAUCACUACUUUACUUACUGUUAUUACGCACAGAGGUCUGGAUCACUACUUUACUUACUGUUAUUAUGCACAGAGGUCUGGAUCACUACUUUACUUACUGUUAUUACGCACAGAGGUCUGGAUCACUACUUUACUUACUGUUAUUACGCACAGAGGUCUGGAUCACUACUUUACUUACUGUUACGUACAGAGGUCUGGAUCACUACUUUACUUACUGUUACGCACAGAGGUCUGGAUCACUACUUUACUUACUGUUAUGCACAGAGGUCUGGAUCACUACUUUACUAACU